rnacentral:tRNA from 1 species
CCGUCUGUAGCCAAGCGGAAUGGCAAUCGGCUUUUAACCGAUAUAUCGCAGGUUCGAAUCCUGUCAGACGGA